rnacentral:rRNA from 1 species
CGCGUAGGCGGAUUCGUCAGUCAGAUGUGAAAACCGCGGGCUUAACCCGCGACCUGCAUCUGAUACUGCGAAUCUUGAGUACGGGAGAGGAAAGCGGAAUUCCAGGUGUAGCGGUGGCAUGCGUAGAUAUCUGGAGGAACACCGGUGGCGAAGGCGGCUUUCUGGACCGAUACUGACGCUGAGGCGCGAAAGCUAGGGGAGCAAACAGGAUUAGAUACCCUGGUAGUCC